GCUCAGCCAAAUAGUUGCCAAACCAUAAGGGAAGUUACAAAUUGAAAUGCGUUGUUGGUUACAAAAGUUUAAAAUACCUUUAUGAUAACCCUGUUCCUUGAGGUACUGCAUCUAUCGAUAUAUUGAUGAUUUCGCAGAUGGAGCAGUUUUGACGAAUUUGAAGCCAUCUCUGAUUUCAGCAAGCGGAUUCGGUUCACGUCAUUUUAAUCAACAUUGAAACGGUCAUCGGUCAGAUAUGCUUCUUCAAACUAUCUUGUCACCUACAAAAGACAGAACGCAUAUUCCGCGAAGACAGAGAUUAGGAGCUGCAGCUAACAGCUGUACUGGUGGCUUUUGAUCUGUUAAAAGAUUUCCUUAAUCCUGAAAAUUGCCGGGAUACAAAGUAAAAAACCUCAUCAUUGACGAAAAUUCCUUCCAUACCUAGGAACUCACUAUA